rnacentral:lncRNA from 1 species
CUCCCCUUUCUAAAGAGUCUUUGNGCCCUGGGCCAGGCAGGCGCCAAACCGCUGCGCCACCCAGGGAUCCCUGCACUUGAAUUUCUUUUUUUUAAGGAUUUUUUUUUUAAUUUUUUAUUUAUUUAUGAUAGUCACAGAGAGAGAGAGAGGCAGAGACACAGGCAGAGGGAGAAGCGGGCUCCAUGCACCGGGAGCCCGAUGUGGGAUUCGAUCCCGGGUCCCCAGGAUCGCGCCCUGGGCCAAAGGCAGGCGCCAAACCGCUGCGCCACCCAGGGAUCCCUGCACUUGAAUUUCUAAAUGAAAACUGCUCCAGGCAGAGAAAAAGCAGGAGAACAUCUAAUAUAUUCAAGGAACAGAAAUUACUUUUGUUGAAAUAUUAUCAAGAAUCUAGAUGUAUUUUUAUGUUAUCUCCCCUUUCUAAAGAGUCUUUGUAUUUGUGGGGUUUUUUAGGAUGGUUUUGUAGAUUACCCAUGAAUUAUUUUCACAGUUAUGAUGACAGGAAUCCAAAUACUAUCUUUUGACACCACAGAUCUGUUUUCCAACAGAGACAUUCAUUCCCUCCAUCUGAAACGACCAUGGAGAAAAUAGAGUCGAGGUGUAAUAGAGCUUAAAAUCAACUUUAUUAAAUUGAAUUUCUCCAGAAUUGAGAAGACAUCUCACUUUUUCUAUAGCCUUCAGGUGCUAAAAUGACAUGCCCCAGGGAAGUAUCUGAGCAAGUCAUAGCAAAAUGUUACCAUUUUGCCUCUGGUUGGAGCACUAGAAAUCCUGCCACUCAGUUCUACUCAAGCAGAGAGGAAGACAAGAACUCCCACUGGAGAUCCCUAACCUCUGACUUCAGCCACCCUUUAGACUGGAAAGCAAAUAAGCUGGACAGACUAAACGCUAUACCCUGGAAGCUCUUUCUUUCCCUGACCUCAAGUUUGCUUUCAACAUCAAGGAAACAACUCUGGACUCAAAAUCAAGAAACCACUCAUAGACACAGAGGGUAUUUUCCAGUAAGUAUAUUCCUAGUCUUAAAAAGUAUCAGAGGGCCAGCUAAAAUUCCUAUCACAUAUUUUACAAGAUCUACAUGCAUCCUGCAUAUCAACUUGGCUAUCUGAGUGUCACUUUAUGGGGUUGGCAGAACAAAUAUCUCACCAAAGAUCAUGUCUAAAUCACUGGAAUUUAUAAAUAUUGUAACUUGUGUGGAAAAGAGGGCAUGGCAAAUGUGAUUAAGGUUAUGGUGUGGAGAUUAUUCUGGAUUAUCUAUGUGACCACAACCUAAUCAUGAGUCCUUAAAAGCAGAGAAACUUUCCUGGUGAUCAGAGAGAAAUGUGACCGGAAGUUCAGAGAGAUGUAACAUAAGAACAAUGUGUCUCUCUACUUCUAGUUCUGUGAUGUGUGGGGGCUACAUCCAAAGACUAGAGAGAGUUUUCUAGGACUUGAGAAUGGCCUCUAGCUAAUAGCCAGCAGGAAAAUGGGGACCUCUGUCCUUCAACUGCAAGAAACUAAAUUCUGCCAACAGAAGAAUGAGUAGAGAAACAGAUUCUUCCUGCAGCUUGCAAGAAGGAACACAGUUGUGCUGUCACUUUUUUUAUUCUAGGGAGACCUAUACCAGACUUCUGACCUACAACAACCCUAAGAUAAUAAAUAAAAUUGUAUGGUUUUAACUCA